GAUGAACGCUGGCGGCGUGCUUAACACAUGCAAGUCGAACGCAAAGGCCCUGCCUUUCUCGUGUGCUCGAGUGGCGAACGGGUGAGUAACACGUGAGUAACCUGCCUUUUACUGUGGGAUAACUUCUGGAAACUGUGGCUAAUACCGGAUAGCAGCUCCUGCUGCAUGGUGGCGGUUGGAAAGUUUCGGCUGAUGCGGUUGGACUCGAGGCUUAUCAGCUUUUUGGUGGGGUAGUGGCUUACCCAGGAUAUGGCGGGUAGCCGGACUGAGAGGGUGACCGGGCACAGUGGGCCUCGGGUAGCAGCAAGACUGCUACGUGAGCCAGCGAUGGAAGAGUGUGCGCACUAGGCGGCGGCCGGGAGCAGCAUCGCCGCGUGCGGGAUGACGGCCGUCGGGGUGUAAACAGCUUUCGACUGUGAAGAAGCCUGUGUGACGGUAAUGGAUAAGAAAGCAACGGCUAACUACGUG
rnacentral:rRNA from 1 species